rnacentral:rRNA from 1 species
CACCAGACUCCUACGGGAGGCAGCAGCGGGGAAUAUUGCGCAAUGGGCGAAAGCCUGACGCAGCGACGCCGCGUGGGCGAAGAAGCGCCUCGGCGCGUAAAGCCCUGUCAGCAGGGAAGAAAAUGACGGUACCUGAAGAAGAAGCCCCGGCUAAAUACGUGCCAGCAGCCGCGGUAAUACGUAGGGGGCAAGCGUUAUCCGGAUUUACUGGGUGUAAAGGGAGCGUAGACGGCGAUGCAAGUCUGAAGUGAAAGGCGGGGGCCCAACCCCCGGACUGCUUUGGAAACUGUAUGGCUGGAGUGCAGGAGAGGUAAGUGGAAUUCCUAGUGUAGCGGUGAAAUGCGUAGAUAUUAGGAGGAACACCAGUGGCGAAGGCGGCUUACUGGACUGUAACUGACGUUGAGGCUCGAAAGCGUGGGGAGCAAACAGGAUUAGAUACCCGCGUAGC